rnacentral:rRNA from 1 species
GAUCAUGGCUCAGAACGAACGCUGGCGGCGCGUUUAAGCAUGCAAGUCGAGCGGCAAGGGCCUUCGGGCCCCUAGAGCGGCGGACGGGUGAGUAACACGUGGACAAUCUGCCCCCCGGCCCGGGAUAGCCCAGGGAAACCUGGAUUAAUACCGGAUGAGACGGGACCCGCGAUGGCGGGAUCCGGGAAAGGCGCUGCGGCGCCGCCGGGGGAUGAGUCUGCGUCCCAUUAGCUAGACGGCGGGGUAACGGCCCACCGUGGCGACGAUGGGUAGCCGGCCUGAGAGGGUGGACGGCCACAUUGGAACUGAGACACGGUCCAGACUCCUACGGGAGGCAGCAGCUAAGAAUCUUCCGCAAUGGGCGAAAGCCUGACGGAGCCGACGCCGCGUGAACGAAGAAGGCCGUGAGGUUGUAAAGUUCUUUUCGGGAGGGGAACAACCGUGGCAGGGAAUGGCCGCGGGAUGACGUGAAUCCCGGAAUAAGCCCCGGCUAACUACGUGCCAGCCGCGGC